rnacentral:rRNA from 1 species
UACGUAGGGUGCGAGCGUUGUCCGGAAUUACUGGGCGUAAAGAGCUCGUAGGUGGUUUGUCGCGUUGUUCGUGAAAUUCCCUGGCUUAACUGGGGGCGUGCGGGCGAUACGGGCAGACUGGAGUACUGCAGGGGAGACUGGAAUUCCUGGUGUAGCGGUGGAAUGCGCAGAUAUCAGGAGGAACACCAGUGGCGAAGGCGGCGAUCUGGGAAGAUACUGACGCUGAGGUGCGAAAGCGUGGGGAGCGAUCCGG